rnacentral:rRNA from 1 species
CACCGGCGGCUCAAGUGGUGGCCGCUUUUAUUGGGCUUAAAGGGUCCGUAGCCGGGCCAGUUAGUCCUCUGGGAAAUCUUACGGCUUAACCGUAAGGCUGCCAAAGGAUACUGCUGGCCUUGGGACCGGGAGAGGCAAGAGGUACCUCAGGGGUAGGAGUGAAAUCCUGUAAUCCUUGAGGGACCGCCAGUGGCGAAGGCGUCUUGCUAGAACGGGUCCGACGGUGAGGGACGAAAGCUAGGGGCACGAACCGG